UACGAAGGGUGCUAGCGUUGCUCGGAAUCACUGGGCGUAAAGCGUGCGCAGGCGGCUGCUCAAGUCAGGGGUGAAAGCCCAGAGCUCAACUCUGGAAUUGCAUUUGAUACUCUGGAGCUUGAGUACGGGAGAGGAGAGUGGAAUUCCCAGUGUAGAGGUGAAAUUCGUAGAUAUUGGGAAGAACACCGGUGGCGAAGGCGGCUCUCUGGACCGUAACUGACGCUGAGGCGCGAAAGCGUGGGGAGCAAACAGG
rnacentral:rRNA from 1 species